UGGCAUAAURCUUAACAUUUAUCAAAACACAGUAAUCUGUAUCAACACUGCAGGCUCAGAAUUCACUCAAAAAAGGAUACCUCUAAAAGUGUCUAAUUGUACCAUGUCUGUAUUCUAGCUUCGAGUGUUUCAUUUUCCUGAGAUAGCUCCUCCUAAGCAGGGUUACUGUUCAGAGAGUGGAAAUCUGAUUGUUAAGUGGGUCCCAAAUAAACAUCGAAAAAGUCAGAAGCCUGGACUGCAAGCAGUGUCAGAGUUAAAGCCUGUACGACAGAUAUGUGUUAAAGACCUUCCCUCUGAAAGUCUCAGUGACCUUAAASAAGUGCAGAACCGCAGACAAGGCGCUGACAUGAGAAGAAUGAAAUCUGGGAAAAUUCCUGCAGGAGGCCAACCCAGUCUUGUAUAUCCAAAGAGAAGCCAGAUACUUAGCUGCCCAUCCAAAACAAAAUUGCUUCUAAACUACAAAACUGAAGGUUUUGCAGACAAAGAUGGGGUACUGAGCCAAUCUUGCCCUGGACAGCUGCAGAUUGCAACCAUAGUGGAGCUGCAAGAUGAGGGUGGCCUGAAGCUGAUGAACAGGCCGCCAGGCUUGUCUCAUGCCAAACCAACAUCAUUCCGUCCUUUGCUAGUGCAAAAGGCUCCAGUAAUGGUGAACUUGAAAGAAAAAAGCACACAAAGAAUCAAAAACAGUCAGUAUCUGAAGAAACCAACAAAAAUUAAAACCAGACCAGGUAUUAAGAUAAAAACUCCAGGUAUACCUUUAAGUACUUCUACUGCAUAUCUGUACUUCAGUGUACUAGGAUCUUUGUGAACUCUAGGGAAUACCUUUUUUUUUUUUCUCUUGCAAAUUCCUUUUUAAAAUGUAUUAUUAAAAUUUUAUGCAUACACUAAGCUGAAAAGAGUGUUCCCUAUAAUAUAUCUCUAAUGAUUUGCAGAUUUGCAACCUGAACCUUAAAUUUCAGCAUUUCCUUUUAAUUUUUGAAGGCAAUCAGAAUACAGAGGUUAGUGUUCUGGUUUGCAGCAGCCAUGUGCCACCAAAACAAUGUGGUAACAAUCAGAUGUUUGUUAGUGGAAAUAUCCAAAGAAAGGCUCUCUGGGUUCCUGGUUCAGAUAUGAAACCUUUAAUAAUAACUUCUAAUAAUACUUUUAAAAGUAUGUAUCCAGUCAUAAUCACUACAGUUUCAGUUUAUGACCGCUGUCUUUUGUUCUGCCGUGCACCUCUAGAAAGUGUCUGGCUCUGCCUUCUCAGUAACUUCUUGUAGGUACCAGAAGGCUGCUGUUAGGUAUUCCCAAAGCAGCCUUUCUUCCAAGCUGAACAAGCCCAGUUCCCUCAACCCCUUCUCACAGGGCAUGUGCUCCAUGAGCACUUUUAAGUGGGUUGGGUUCGGGAACCCAAUUUAGUCAGCCAAAUCUUGACUCAGCCCAGUAUGUCUCUUUGCCUAUGUUUCCCUGUCCUCGUGAGGGGAAAAUACUGAAAAUAGUCUCAGAUGUUACUAGGAAU
rnacentral:lncRNA from 1 species